UACAGAGGUCCCGAGCGUUGUUCGGAUUCACUGGGCGUAAAGGGUGCGUAGGUGGUGAGGUAAGUCGGAUGUGAAAGCUCCAAGCUCAACUUGGAAACGGCAUUGGAAACUACCUUGCUAGAGGGUUUGAGGGGGGACUGGAAUACUUGGUGUAGCAGUGAAAUGCGUAGAUAUCAAGUGGAACACCAGUGGCGAAGGCGAGUCCCUGGACAAUACCUGACACUGAGGCACGAAAGCUAGGGGAGCAAACAGG
rnacentral:rRNA from 1 species